UGGAGCUCCUCCUGGAGGUCCUCCAUGAUGGACCUCCACGGCUGACCCUCACCGCCCCCUCUCCCCAGGGCCAUGGAGCUGGGCCGCGAGUGCCUCAACCUCUGGGGGUAUGAGCGGGUGGAUGAGAUCAUCUGGGUGAAGACCAAUCAGCUGCAGCGCAUCAUCCGCACCGGCCGCACCGGCCACUGGCUGAACCACGGCAAGGAGCACUGCCUGGUAGGCGGCCCCAAAAAGCCCCGAAAUGGCCCCAAAAUGACCUAGGGGGGGAAAAAACGGACCCAAAGGACCCGGAAACGGGCACAAAAGACCCGAAAACGGGCACAAAAGACCCAAAAAUGGACAAAAAAGACCCGAAAACGGGCACAAAAGAACCCCCCAAAAAUGGCCUCUGAAGACCCGAAAAUGGACCCAAAAGACCCCAAACUGGACCCAAAAUACCCCAAAUUGGACCCCAAAAUUGACCCUAAAAUGGCCCCAAAAUACCCCCAAGAAAAAAAGGGGCUCUGAAGACCCCAAAACAGAUGCAAAAUACCCCAAAACGGACCCCAAAAUGGAACCGAAAUACGCCAAGAAAACAAAACAGCCCCUAAAGACCCGAAAAUGGCCCCCAAAUGGCCCCCAAAUACCCCAAAACAGACCCAAAAGACCCCCAAAUUGACCCAAAAGACCCCCAAGAAAAAAGAGGCCUCUGAAUACCCCCAAAUGGACCCAAAACUGACCCAAAAGACCCCCAAGAAAAAAAACGGCUCCUAAAGACCCCAAAAUGGACCCGAAAAUGGCCCCAAAAUGGACCC